rfam:Proteiniclasticum ruminis strain ML2 genome assembly, contig: Ga0073291_124
AAUAACAAAAUAUGCAUACUAAGACAGUGGGUGAGUUUCUCAUAAGUCCCACCGAGGUGCGAGUACUUUAUAGUUUUUAAAACUAAGGUCUCUCCUCGUCUUGGAGAGGCCUUUUUGUUAGGAUUU